GGAAUAUAAGAACCCGUCUCUUAACUUUUAACUAAAAAAGUUAAGAACCGGCUCUUAAAACUCUUAUUUAAGAACCGGUUCUUAGCUUUUUUUUAGUUAAAAAUUAAGAGACGGAUUUUUAUAUUCC
rfam:Brassica napus, WGS project CCCW01000000 data, contig: 15401